rnacentral:rRNA from 1 species
AUUGAACGCUGGCGGCAUGCCUUACACAUGCAAGUCGAACGGUAACAGGUCUUCGGAUGCUGACGAGUGGCGAACGGGUGAGUAAUACAUCGGAACGUGCCUAGUAGUGGGGGAUAACUACUCGAAAGAGCGGCUAAUACCGCAUGAGAUCUACGGAUGAAAGCAGGGGAUCGCAAGACCUUGUGCUGCCAGAGAGGCCGAUGGCAGAUUAGGUAGUUGGUGGGAUAAAAGCUUACCAAGGCGACUAUCUGUAGUUGGACUGUAAAGACGAUCAGCCACACUGGGAGUGGGACAGGGCCCAGACUCCUACGGGAGGCAGCAGUGGGGAAUUUUGGACAAUGGGCGCAAGCCUGAUCCAGCAAUGCCGCGUGCAGGAUGAAGGCCUUCGGGUUGUAAACUGCUUUUGUACGGAACGAAAAGCCCUGGGUUAAUACCCUGGGGUCAUGACGGUACCGUAAGAAUAAGCACCGGCUAACUACGUGCCAGCAGCCGCCGUAAUAC